rnacentral:rRNA from 1 species
AUGGGCGGGCGCAUCUGGGCACGCACAGACUGUUCAUUCCAUGGCGAAGGCAUAGGGUCAUGCCAAACUGGCGGUUGCGGCGGCUUGCUCGUUUGUAAGGGGAAUGGUCAACCGCCCAACACGCUGGGCGAAUUCACGCUUGGCCAAGACCAAACGAAUGACUUCUUCGACAUCUCCCUCCUCGACGGCUUCAAUGUGCCCAUGGAGUUACUGCCGGUGCUGGUUCGGGGAAGGUCAGGGUGCGGCAAGGGGCUGCGCUGCGCAGCCAACAUCACAUCGCAGUGCCCAGGCGACCUGAAGGCUCCGGGGGGUUGUAACAACGCGUGCACAGUGUUCAAGCAGGACAUAUACUGCUUGAAUGGAAGCACAAUAAGCAGCCCCACAAAUUACUCGAAAUUCUUUAAGCGGAUGUGCCCAGAUGCCUACAGCUACCCCGACGAUGGUUCCACCAGAACUUUCAAUUGCCCGUCGGGGACCAACUACCAGGUCGUUUUCUGUCCCCUGAUUAAUCACACACUAUCGCCUACAACUCAAAGUCCCCAGAUUAAUCAAGCACUGACGCCUACAGCUGAAAGUGGCUUCAUUUUCUUCACCAUCUUGUUCCUCGUCAGUUUCUUCAUACGUAAACGAAGAACACAAUGGCAGCAUGGGAUGGAACAAGAGGAAGAGUUUGGGGAGCUACAAGGAACACCAAUGAGGUUCACAUUUCAACAGCUAAAAGCAGCAACCGAGCAGUUCAAAGACAAGCUCGGGGAAGGAGGAUUUGGGUCUGUUUUCAAGGGUCAAUUUGCUGAUGAAAGGAUUGCGGUAAAACGUUUGGAUCGAUCUGGUCAAGGCAAAACAGAAUUUUCGGCAGAGGUUCAGACAAUUGGCAGCAUUCAUCACAUUAACCUGGUGAGAUUGAUUGGCUUCUGUGCAGAGAAAUCCCAUAGGCUCUUGGUAUAUGAGUACAUGCCCAAAGGAUCCUUGGACAGAUGGAUCUAUUGUCGACAUGACAAUGAUGCUCCUCCUCUACAUUGGAGCACACGGUGCAAGAUUAUCACUCAUAUAGCUAAGGGCCUCACGUAUCUUCACGAGGAGUGCACAAAACGAAUUGCUCAUUUGGAUGUCAAACCACACAACAUCCUCUUAGAUGACAACUUCAAUGCUAAACUUUCUGAUUUUGGACUAUGCAAGCUCAUUGACAGGGAUAUGAGCCAAGUGGUUACUAGAAUGAGAGGCACACCUGGGUAUUUAGCUCCUGAAUGGUUGACAUCACAGAUCACGGAAAAGGCAGAUGUCUAUAGCUUUGGCAUUGUGGUCAUGGAAAUCAUGAGUGGAAGAAAGAACCUUGACACUUCCCGGUCAGAGGAGAGCAUUCAUCUCAUUACCCUAUUGGAGGAAAAGGUGAAGAGUGAUCGGUUGGUAGAUUUGAUUGACAAUAACAGCACCGACAUGCAAGCACACAAGCAAGAUGUAAUUCAGAUGAUCAUGCUUGCAAUGUGGUGCUUGCAGAUUGAUUGCAAAAGAAGGCCUAAAAUGUCUGAGGUAGUAAAAGUAUUGGAAGGUGCCAUGAAUAUAGACAUCAACAUAGAUCAUAACUUUGUUGUGAAUUCAGCAAAUUUUGGUAGUGCUGGAAAUGUGAGGUCUUCAGCUCCACCUCUAGCCUCAGAUGUAUCAGGCCCUAGGUGA